GCCACCUUAGCUCUAAUGGCAGAGCGUCGCUCUCGUAAAGCGAAGGUUGUGUGUUCGAAUCACACAGGUGGCA